CUUCACGCUCAUCCAGGCAGCACAUGAAUGCUGUGUAACGACUUUAUUCAUGACUUCAUUUACAUUUUAAAAGAACCUUCUGAUCUGCAACGGAACUGAACAUUUACUCAUGAAGCCUAGAAGCCCGAUUCAAAUUGCCCAGGACACAAUGUUUCUGGAAUACUUUGCAUUCUACCGUACUUUGUGUGCUCAGAGCACAACCCCUGCUGAUUUCAGCAGCACCAAUGAAUGUAAGAUGUUCAUCUAGAAUCCCAAAUCAGAUAUAAGGAAAAUGAAGACAGUGCUGAUAGGAAAUUGCCCUGUAGCACAUAAAGCACAUUGUAGCUCAGUGUAUUAUGUACAGUUUAGAAGAGCACAGUUUCUAGAGCUUCACCUAUGAGCUUGCUCCUUCCCUGUCUUCUUAGGUCCUCUCUCUCCAAAAUUGCUGGACCUGUGCACCAGCUCAGGCCCAAAUCAGGCUGUUAGGUUCACUGGCCAUUAUCUGCCCAACAUACCUUUCCUUUUGCCAGGUCCAUCCCUUUGAGACUUUGUAAUGAAAUCAGCUCUCACACUUCUUAAAGCCUCUCUGUGCCUGGAUCCAGAAGGGCAUAGACAGAGCCUGAAGAAGAGUUUUCCACACAGAAUCCUGUAACUGUGGGAGCCCUGCUCAGACCCACCAGAGUCCCUGUCAGGGAAGGAGCUAACACUGCCAUGGGCAUCUGAGGGUUUGUUUGCUGGCAAGUUUCUGUUUGUGCUCUGACAAAUUUCUGUAUGUAAUUGUUUAAGGAUGCAAAUCUACGGGAGGUGAGUCUUAAAAUGGCCAAAGGUUACCUUCACCUUCAGAAAGAACAUCUUCCUGAGUUCAGACUCUCGUCCCAAACAGAGCUAAGGAACAAGGAUGUAGCUGCAGAAUCUGUUGUAGCAUUUGGAUCCUUUAAUAACAAAGGUUUUUCUCACUUAUCUGCUGGCCAUCACAAGCUGAACGUGGAACAGGCACUCCUGUGUGACAUCAAAGCUAAUUGCUGCACCAAAGUGACCGUUUCCCUGUGCAAUAUGAGGCAACAUGCUCUUUUGUCUGUCUUAUUCAGAAUCUAGCAUUUUCUGCAAUCUACACCAGAGAGCUGCAGUCACAUCAAUUUCUUAAUGGCUGUCCCUGAAAGACACAUCUCACCAAUCUUUAAAUGCACUACAAUUUCUCAUUCACAAGAGGAUAUCUUGCAAAAAUCUUCCUCCUUUAUUACUUGCUAUCACAGAUAUCAUUACAGCAGUUUAUUUAUGAACUGGUUCCAGUGAGCUCAGUUGGGAUCAUCAUUGGGAACAUCUUAGCUGGGAUGAAAUAUCCCACGUGUCUGAUCUGAGAAAUUCCCAGGUGCUUUACAGGAGAAGAGAGCAACAGUAAUAAAGUAAAAAGUCACAUUGCA
rnacentral:lncRNA from 1 species